rnacentral:lncRNA from 1 species
CUCUGAAAAGCAGUGCCGUUCCUUUUUAGAAAGACUGAAUCUAAAUGUUGUCUCUGGAGACGAGAAGCCUUCAGUAUGUUAAAUUACUUUCAUUAUGUAUUUUCAGAUGCUUAUUGAUUCCACAGUAGGAAGAGUGAGAGACUGCAGCAGCCUCUAAGCAGCACUACAUGUUCCAUACAUUAGCAGUACUGCUGAAACAAUGGCACACUACAGACACAUAUUUUCAUUAAGGUCAUUUUCGAAGAGAUGUUUAUGAGCCUCUUCCCCCAGUCCUCUACUAACAAGUGAACAAAAUGAAUCAAUCCAAACUGGAAAUGCUUCAACUACAUCAAGAAUUUAUCAAAUCUUUAGCAGAGGGCCGAUAGCAGCUAAUUCAGUAUUUACAACUGACAAUAUGAAGAAUGCAAUUGACUGAGCAUCUCCCUAGCUGUCUGAACUACGAACUGCAAGAUGUUCUUGUAACACGACUUUAAGACAUUAAGGAGUUAAAACCAGGGAAUAGGUCUACAUUACUGAUGGAAUAUAAAAAAUCAACUGUAUCCUAAGAAGAUGCUACAUAAAAUAACCACAAAAAGAAAAACAAUAUAACUGUAAAAGCCUGAAAAGAAUUUUUAAAAGGGGAAGUUUAUACUUUCAUAUACCAGAAUUGUGGAAGUUACUGAUUCUGGAAGACAUAAUGAAACAUUAAUUUCCAAAAAGAAAAGAAAAUACUUUAUCAGCACACAAAAGGAAGAUUUAGGAAGUGUUUUCAGCACUAAAUAUUCAGAUAUUCAUAUCAAUUGGUAUGACUAAUGGAUUUUUCUAUCUGACUUUUAUGACCAAUUAUGUAUCCUCUUCUAAUGAAAACAAACAAAAUUAAACAGCAGAUGGUUUUUAUCAAAAGGACAUGGCCUGGAUUUAUAAUAUAAAGCAAGUUAUGUGAUCAAGAAAUCAUUUCAAAAUAGUGAGCACUGCUAUUAAAAACAGAUUUACAAUGGUAACAAAAGGAUGUCUAAAUAUAUUUUAGAAGCUACAAACGUUAUGUUUCCUUUUUUGUUUUCACAUAUUCUGGAAAAUAAAAAAAUAUUAUCAUGUACUCCAUCAAAGGGAAACAUAAUUCCUAUCAUCUGAGGAAAUUCCUCUUGGCCGUGACUUUUUAAAGCAAAACAAAUACAAAUAUUAUGUACUGUUCUUUAGAAAUCCAUCAGCCAACUAAAUCUCAUAAUGCAUGCAGUUGAAGUAUUGGAGAGAAAACGAAAGAAUUCCUACAAGACAUGAAAUAAAACACAGCUACUUCACUGUUGUCAGGUAAAAAUUCAUGUCAAAAUCUGUCAAUGAUAUCAUGUAUCAAUUUGCCAAAAACUGUCAUAGUGAACCAAAAGGCCCAUAAGGCAACAGCAAACAGGGAAAAAAACCAACUGCUCCAAAAGAAUGUGUUUUUCUCCCAUUCUGGAAAUCAACAUGCAGUCUGAAUCUAACAUUACAGUGCGAGAUGACAUUGAUGACAUCAACACCAAUAUGUACCAACCACUAUCAUAUCCGUUAAGCUUUCAAGUGUCUCUCACCGGAUUUCUUAUGUUAGAAAUUGUGUUGGGACUUGGCAGCAACCUCACUGUAUUGGUACUUUACUGCAUGAAAUCCAACUUAAUCAACUCUGUCAGUAACAUUAUUACAAUGAAUCUUCAUGUACUUGAUGUAAUAAUUUGUGUGGGAUGUAUUCCUCUAACUAUAGUUAUCCUUCUGCUUUCACUGGAGAGUAACACUGCUCUCAUUUGCUGUUUCCAUGAGGCUUGUGUAUCUUUUGCAAGUGUCUCAACAGCAAUCAACGUCUUUGCUAUCACUUUGGACAGAUAUGACAUCUCUGUAAAACCUGCAAACCGAAUUCUGACAAUGGGCAGAGCUG